AGGCCUGCUAGGUGGCGACGGGGGGUGUAAUUCCACAUGCAAAGGAAAACUGUAGAGAAACUUCAUCUUCCCUCACUCACUCGUGUUCGGAGAUCCACGGAGAGAAAGAAAAACAACGCGCUGCCAAAGAACCUGACCGUGCCGGUUUUCGCCGAUGCCGGCAGCGGUUUGCUACGAUAGGAUGCGCACCCCUCCUCACGGCCUCAACCUCUCUUUACCGAAACAGGAAUCAACCUCUCCACUUCAAACAAAACAGAAUGCUACCGUGAUUCACUCUUACCCGCGGCGGCAAAGACGAACUCGAAGCUCAGAUCUCCACGGCUCGAUUCCGAAACUCCUUGUUCUCGUCUUGUUGCGAUUCGCGUUGUUGUGGUUCGAUCGAGCUGAGGCCGCUUCGGAUUGAGGAAGAUGAACAGUACAGUUGGUGAAGAUGAGAGAGGCGUCGCGAUUAGUGACGAAGAGCGAUGCAACUAAGAUCCGGUGACUGAAGCGGCGUGAAGAACAAAGAGCGAACGCGACCGAAUUUUCAAAAGAUGAGAUCGAGAUCCUCUUGUGCUUUCCUCCUCCUUUCCGUUAUGCUUCUGUUGAGGAACAGGUUGAAUUUUCUUGUGGUGGUUCGGCGAUGGAAGUUUGGAAGCGGUUGAAGGUGGUUCGGUGAACGGAGAUUGGUUACGGUUAUGGUUGGUUGCGGUUAUGAUGAAGAGAAUGAAUCAACGAAGAAUCCAGAGUAAUUUCCGCGAGAUCUCGAACGAAUCUGUAUCUGAUCCGAAGUCCGGCCAAAUCGUUGCGUGUAGAUAAAAAUGGUGAGUGAAGAUUGGUGAGGUUCGAAUGGUUCAGAGUUGAGAGAAGGUCUUGGUGAAGGUUUGAUGAAGUUUGGUUCAAGAAGAAGAUUCGGUUAGGCGUUGUGGUGGAGGGUUAUGGAGUUUGGAGUUUGGUGAAGGUGAUUGUGAAUUGAAAAAACGGUUACGGUGGUUGAAGGUUUUGGUUGAAGAAUUGGAAGAGAGUUUUUGACGGUGGUUGAUGAAUGGAGGUUGAUGGAAGACGAAGAAACGAGAGGUUAGAGGAUGAAAAAGCUUCCUCCAAUUUCUGUUAUUUUUCUGUUAUGGAUCCUCUCUCCUUUCUGUUAUGGCUUUGCACUAUUUACACUCAUACAAGAAUGAAGAUUUCUGUUA